CACUGUUAAUUUCAGGAAGUUAAUUUAACUGCAUGCAGUGGAGUUAUUUUGCAUCCAAUUUUACUCCACAUUUGGAGUUAAAUUAGGUUCUAAAUAACUUUACUGGGAGUUAAAUUAACUCCCUGAAAUUAAUAGGG